rnacentral:rRNA from 1 species
AGAGUUUGAUCCUGGCUCAGGAUGAACGCUGGCGGCGUGCUUAACACAUGCAAGUCGAACGGGAUCCAUCAAGCUUCUUGGUGGUGAGAGUGGCGAACGGGUGAGUAAUGCGUGACCGACCUGCCCCAUACACCGAAUAGCUCCUGGAAACGGGUGGUAAUGCCGGAUGCUCCAGUUGAUCGCAUGGUCUUCUGGGAAAGCUUUCGCGGUAUGGGAUGGGGUCGCGUCCUAUCAGCUUGACGGCGGGGUAACGGCCCACCGUGGCUUCGACGGGUAGCCGGCCUGAGAGGGCGACCGGCCACAUUGGGACUGAGAUACGGCCCAGACUCCUACGGGAGGCAGCAGUGGGGAAUAUUGCACAAUGGGCGCAAGCCUGAUGCAGCGACGCCGCGUGAGGGAUGGAGGCCUUCGGGUUGUAAACCUCUUUUAUCGGGGAGCAAGCGAGAGUGAGUUUACCCGUUGAAUAAGCACCGGCUAACUACGUGCCAGCAGCCGCGGUAAUACGUAGGGUGCAAGCGUUAUCCGGAAUUAUUGGGCGUAAAGGGCUCGUA